rnacentral:rRNA from 1 species
UACGUAGGGGGCAAGCGUUGUCCGGAUUUAUUGGGCGUAAAGAGCGUGUAGGCGGCCUUACAGGUCAGCUGUGAAAACUCGAGGCUCAACCUCGAGAGGUCGGUUGAAACCGUAAGGCUAGAGUCCGGAAGAGGAGAGUGGAAUUCCCGGUGUAGCGGUGAAAUGCGCAGAUAUCGGGAAGAACACCCGUGGCGAAGGCGGCUCUCUGGGACGGUACUGACGCUG